rnacentral:rRNA from 1 species
UUCUUGGAGAGUUUGAUCCUGGCUCAGGACGAACGCUGGCGGCGUGCCUAAUACAUGCAAGUCGAGCGGACUUGAUGGAGAGCUUGCUCUCCUG